AGCGAACGCUGGCGGCAGGCUUAACACAUGCAAGUCGAACGGGCAUCUUCGGAUGUCAGUGGCAGACGGGUGAGUAACACGUGGGAACGUACCCUUCGGUUCGGAAUAACUCAGGGAAACUUGAGCUAAUACCGGAUACGCCCUUUUGGGGAAAGGUUUACUGCCGAAGGAUCGGCCCGCGUCUGAUUAGCUUGUUGGUGGGGUAACGGCCUACCAAGGCGACGAUCAGUAGCUGGUCUGAGAGGAUGAUCAGCCACACUGGGACUGAGACACGGCCCAGACUCCUACGGGAGGCAGCAGUGGUGAAUAUUGGACAAGGGGCGCAAGCCUGAUCCAGCCAUGCCGCGUGAGUGAUGAAGGCCUUAGGGUUGUAAAGCUCUUUUGUCCGGGACGAUAAUGACGGUACCGGAAGAAUAAGCCCCGGCUAACUUCGUG
rnacentral:rRNA from 1 species